rnacentral:rRNA from 1 species
UACGUAGGGGGCAAGCGUUGUCCGGAAUCAUUGGGCGUAAAGAGCGUGUAGGCGGCUUGGUAAGUCCGCUGUGAAAGUCCAGGGCUCAACCCUGGAAUGCCGGUGGAAACUGUCAAGCUUGAGUCCGGAAGAGGCGAGUGGAAUUCCUGGUGUAGCGGUGAAAUGCGCAGAUAUCAGGAGGAACACCAAUGGCGAAGGCAGCUCGCUGGGACGGUACUGACGCUGAGAACGCGAAAGCGUGGGGAGCAAACAGG